rnacentral:rRNA from 1 species
UUCCGGUUGAUCCUGCCGGACCUGACUGCUAUCGGAUUGAUACUAAGCCAUGCGAGUCUUUGUAGUAAUACAAGGCAGACGGCUCAGUAACACGUAGUCAACCUACCCUAUGGACGAGAAUAAUCUCGGGAAACUGAGCAUAAUUCUCGGUAGAUCAUAAUGCCUGGAAUGGUUUAUGGUUAAAAUGAUUCUUCGCCAUAGGAUGGACUGCGGCCUAUCAGCUUGUUGGUGAGGUAAUGGCCCACCAAGGCGAUUACAGGUACGGGCUCUGAGAGGAGAAGCCCGGAGAUGGGUACUGAGACACGGACCCAGGCCCUAUGGGGCGCAGCAGGCGAGAAAACUUUGCAAUGUGCGAAAGCACGACAAGGUUAAUCCGAGUGAUUUCUGCUAAAGAAAUCUUUUACCAGUCGUAAAACCACUGGCGAAUAAGGGGUGGGCAAGUUCUGGUGUCAGCCGCCGCGGUAAAACCAGCACCUCAAGUGGUCAGGAUGAUUAUUGGGCCUAAAGCAUCCGUAGCCCGCUUUGUAAGUUUUCGGUUAAAUCCAUGUGCUCAACGCAUGGGCUGCCGAAAAUACUGCAUUGCUAGGGAGUGGGAGAGGUAGACGGUACUCGGUAGGAAGGGGUAAAAUCCUUUGAUCUAUUGAUGACCACCUGUGGCGAAGGCGGUCUACCAGAACACGUUCGACGGUGAGGGAUGAAAGCUGGGGGAGCAAACCGGAUUAGAUACCCGGGUAGUCCCAGCUGUAAACGAUGCAGACUCGAUGAUGCAUUGGCAUAAUAGCCAGUGCAGUGUCGCAGGGAAGCCGUUAAGUCUGCCGCCUGGGAAGUACGUACGCAAGUAUGAAACUUAAAGGAAUUGGCGGGGGAGCACCACAAGGGGUGAAGCCUGCGGUUCAAUUGGAUUCAACGCCGGG